rnacentral:rRNA from 1 species
GGGACACGUGGUAUCCUGUCUGAAUAUGGGGGGACCAUCCUCCAAGGCUAAAUACUCCUGACUGACCGAUAGUGAACCAGUACCGUGAGGGAAAGGCGAAAAGAACCCCGGCGAGGGGAGUGAAAAAGAACCUGAAACCGUGUACGUACAAGCAGUGGGAGCCUCUUUUAUGGGGUGACUGCGUACCUUUUGUAUAAUGGGUCAGCGACUUAUAUUCUGUAGCAAGGUUAACCGAAUAGGGGAGCCGAAGGGAAACCGAGUCUUAACUGGGCGUUAAGUUGCAGGGUAUAGACCCGAAACCCGGUGAUCUAGCCAUGGGCAGGUUGAAGGUUGGGUAACACUAACUGGAGGACCGAACCGACUAAUGUUGAAAAAUUAGCGGAUGACUUGUGGCUGGGGGUGAAAGGCCAAUCAAACCGGGAGAUAGCUGGUUCUCCCCGAAAGCUAUUUAGGUAGCGCCUCGUGAACUCAUCUCCGGGGGUAGAGCACUGUUUCGGCAAGGGGGUCAUCCCGACUUACCAACCCGAUGCAAACUGCGAAUACCGGAGAAUGUUAUCACGGGAGACACACGGCGGGUGCUAACGUCCGUCGUGAAGAGGGAAACAACCCAGACCGCCAGCUAAGGUCCCAAAGUCAUGGUUAAGUGGGAAACGAUGUGGGAAGGCCCAGACAGCCAGGAUGUUGGCUUAGAAGCAGCCAUCAUUUAAAGAAAGCGUAAUAGCUCACUGGUCGAGUCGGCCUGCGCGGAAGAUGUAACGGGGCUAAACCAUGCACCGAAGCUGCGGCAGCGACACUAUGUGUUGUUGGGUAGGGGAGCGUUCUGUAAGCCUGUGAAGGUGUGCUGUGAGGCAUGCUGGAGGUAUCAGAAGUGCGAAUGCUGACAUAAGUAACGAUAAAGCGGGUGAAAAGCCCGCUCGCCGGAAGACCAAGGGUUCCUGUCCAACGUUAAUCGGGGCAGGGUGAGUCGACCCCUAAGGCGAGGCCGAAAGGCGUAGUCGAUGGGAAACAGGUUAAUAUUCCUGUACUUGGUGUUACUGCGAAGGGGGGACGGAGAAGGCUAUGUUGGCCGGGCGACGGUUGUCCCGGUUUAAGCGUGUAGGCUGGUUUUCCAGGCAAAUCCGGAAAAUCAAGGCUGAGGCGUGAUGACGAGGCACUACGGUGCUGAAGCAACAAAUGCCCUGCUUCCAGGAAAAGCCUCUAAGCAUCAGGUAACAUCAAAUCGUACCCCAAACCGACACAGGUGGUCAGGUAGAGAAUACCAAGGCGCUUGAGAGAACUCGGGUGAAGGAACUAGGCAAAAUGGUGCCGUAACUUCGGGAGAAGGCACGCUGAUAUGUAGGUGAAGUCCCUCGCGGAUGGAGCUGAAAUCAGUCGAAGAUACCAGCUGGCUGCAACUGUUUAUUAAAAACACAGCACUGUGCAAACACGAAAGUGGACGUAUACGGUGUGACGCCUGCCCGGUGCCGGAAGGUUAAUUGAUGGGGUCAGCGCAAGCGAAGCUCUUGAUCGAAGCCCCGGUAAACGGCGGCCGUAACUAUAACGGUCCUAAGGUAGCGAAAUUCCUUGUCGGGUAAGUUCCGACCUGCACGAAUGGCGUAAUGAUGGCCAGGCUGUCUCCACCCGAGACUCAGUGAAAUUGAACUCGCUGUGAAGAUGCAGUGUACCCGCGGCAAGACGGAAAGACCCCGUGAACCUUUACUAUAGCUUGACACUGAACAUUGAGCCUUGAUGUGUAGGAUAGGUGGGAGGCUUAGAAGUGUGGACGCCAGUCUGCAUGGAGCCGACCUUGAAAUACCACCCUUUAAUGUUUGAUGUUCUAACGUUGACCCGUGAUCCGGGUUGCGGACAGUGUCUGGUGGGUAGUUUGACUGGGGCGGUCUCCUCCUAAAGAGUAACGGAGGAGCACGAAGGUUGGCUAAUCCUGGUCGGACAUCAGGAGGUUAGUGCAAUGGCAUAAGCCAGCUUGACUGCGAGCGUGACGGCGCGAGCAGGUGCGAAAGCAGGUCAUAGUGAUCCGGUGGUUCUGAAUGGAAGGGCCAUCGCUCAACGGAUAAAAGGUACUCCGGGGAUAACAGGCUGAUACCGCCCAAGAGUUCAUAUCGACGGCGGUGUUUGGCACCUCGAUGUCGGCUCAUCACAUCCUGGGGCUGAAGUAGGUCCCAAGGGUAUGGCUGUUCGCCAUUUAAAGUGGUACGCGAGCUGGGUUUAGAACGUCGUGAGACAGUUCGGUCCCUAUCUGCCGUGGGCGCUGGAGAACUGAGGGGGGCUGCUCCUAGUAC